rnacentral:rRNA from 1 species
UACGUAGGGUGCGAGCGUUGUCCGGAAUUACUGGGCGUAAAGAGCUCGUAGGUGGUUUGUCGCGUUGUUCGUGAAAACUCACAGCUUAACUGUGGGCGUGCGGGCGAUACGGGCAGACUGGAGUACUGCAGGGGAGACUGGAAUUCCUGGUGUAGCGGUGGAAUGCGCAGAUAUCGGGAGGAACACCAGUGGCGAAGGCGGCGAUCUGGGAAGAUACUGACGCUGAGGUGCGAAAGCGUGGGGAGCAAACAGG